UACGAAGGGGGCUAGCGUUGCUCGGAAUCACUGGGCGUAAAGCGCGCGCAGGCGGUCUUUUAAGUCUGAUGUGAAAGCCCACGGCUCAACCGUGGAGGGUCAUUGGAAACUGGGGGACUUGAGUGCAGAAGAGGAGAGUGGAAUUCCACGUGUAGCGGUGAAAUGCGUAGAGAUGUGGAGGAACACCAGUGGCGAAGGCGACUCUCUGGUCUGUAACUGACGCUGAGGCGCGAAAGCGUGGGGAGCAAACAGG
rnacentral:rRNA from 1 species